GAUGAAGACGUAGCGAAAUGCGAUAAGUAAUGUGAAUUGCAGAAUCCAGUGAAUCAUCGAAUCUUUGAACGCACAUUGCGCCCGCCAGCAUUCUGGCGGGCAUGCCUGUUCGAGCGUCAUUUCAACCCUCGACCUCCCUUUGGGGAAGUCGGCGUUGGGGACCGGCAGCACACCGCCGGCCCUGAAAUGGAGUGGCGGCCCGUCCGCGGCGACCUCUGCGUAGUAAACCAACUCGCACCGGAACCCCGACGUGGCCACGCCGUAAAACACCCAACUUCUGAACGUUGACCUCGAAUCAGGUAGGACUACCCGCUGAACUUAAGCAUAUCAAUAAGCGGAGGA
rnacentral:misc_RNA from 1 species